GCUCAGAUUGAACGCUGGCGGCAGGCCUAACACAUGCAAGUCGAGCGGAAACGAUGGAGCUUGCUCCAGGCGUCGAGCGGCGGACGGGUGAGUAAUGCAUAGGAAUCUGCCCGGUAGUGGGGGAUAACCUGGGGAAACUCAGGCUAAUACCGCAUACGCCCUACGGGGGAAAGCAGGGGCUCUUCGGACCUUGCGCUAUCGGAUGAGCCUAUGUCGGAUUAGCUAGUUGGUGAGGUAAUGGCUCACCAAGGCGACGAUCCGUAGCUGGUCUGAGAGGAUGAUCAGCCACAUCGGGACUGAGACACGGCCCGAACUCCUACGGGAGGCAGCAGUGGGGAAUAUUGGACAAUGGGCGAAAGCCUGAUCCAGCCAUGCCGCGUGUGUGAAGAAGGCUUUCGGGUUGUAAAGCACUUUCAGUGAGGAAGAACGCCUUGGGGCUAAUACCCCCGAGGGAAGACAUCACUCACAGAAGAAGCACCGGCUAACUCCGUGCCAGCAGCCGCGGUAAUACGGAGGGUGCAAGCGUUAAUCGGAAUUACUGGGCGUAAAGCGCGCGUAGGCGGCGUGAUAAGCCGGUUGUGAAAGCCCCGGGCUCAACCUGGGAACGGCAUCCGGAACUGUCAGGCUAGAGUGCAGGAGAGGAAAGGUAGAAUUCCCCGGUGUAGCGGUGAAAUGCGUAGAGAUCGGGAGGAAUACCAGUGGCGAAGGCGGCCUUCUGGACUGACACUGACGCUGAGGUGCGAAAGCGUGGGUAGCAAACAGGAUUAGAUACCCUGGUAGUCCACGCCGUAAACGAUGUCGACUAGCCGUUGGGGUCCUAGAGACCUUUGUGGCGCAGUUAACGCGAUAAGUCGACCGCCUGGGGAGUACGGCCGCAAGGUUAAAACUCAAAUGAAUUGACGGGGGCCCGCACAAGCGGUGGAGCAUGUGGUUUAAUUCGAUGCAACGCGAAGAACCUUACCUACCCUUGACAUCGUGCGAACUUGGUAGAGAUACCUUGGUGCCUUCGGGAACGCACAGACAGGUGCUGCAUGGCUGUCGUCAGCUCGUGUUGUGAAAUGUUGGGUUAAGUCCCGUAACGAGCGCAACCCUUGUCCCUAUUUGCCAGCGAUUCGGUCGGGAACUCUAGGGAGACUGCCGGUGACAAACCGGAGGAAGGUGGGGACGACGUCAAGUCAUCAUGGCCCUUACGGGUAGGGCUACACACGUGCUACAAUGGCCGGUACAAAGGGUUGCGAAUCCGCGAGGUGGAGCUAAUCCCGAAAAGCCGGUCUCAGUCCGGAUCGGAGUCUGCAACUCGACUCCGUGAAGUCGGAAUCGCUAGUAAUCGUGCAUCAGAAUGG
rnacentral:rRNA from 1 species